CCGUAAACAGAGAACGUGGCGGCGAGUGCCGCCGUUCCUUGGUAGCCGCUUUUCUGUGCGCGGCUCGGCCCCGGGUGGAGGCUGCCGGGCUCCUGGACGAGUCCGCGCGCGAUGUGGGCCCGGCGCUGUGCGCCUGCGGCCGGGGGUUGGCGGCUCCGCGGGGGAGCUACAGCCCUGAGGUGAAGACCGCAGACGAGCUGCGGGUGCAGCACCUGGAGGAGACCCGAAGUGAGGGACGCGGCGCUGGCGGCCGCCGGUCCUAGGAAGGGGUCGCGAGGUCGAGUGUCGGGCUGCCGUCAGUGUCCGCCCGGCUGCCAGGUGGAGGCUGCUCCCCUCCCCUAGUCGCGUCGCGCCCGUGUAGCGCUUUCUGUGCCUAAAGGGGUGCUACUGGGCAGCCCGCCUGCCUGCCGGUGCGGCCUCACUCCGCGCCGUGGACAGAAAUGCGCUUUACGCCCUCACCUCUAGACGGCCAAGGCGAGUCCAAACUUCAGUGCUCUCAGCAGCCUGCUGAGAAGAUGAGAACUCUCCCGGGUCAGAGGAGCCCCAAACUGCCCUCUGCUCCCUAGGCCUCUUUAGGCUGGUGGAUGUAGCACCACUCUUGUCCAAGCCAGCAUCAUGUCUAAAGUGGGCUGCUGUAGAGGCCUGCUUGCUGGACUUAUUACAUAUCCUCGCUUUUCU